GCCGCCUUAGCUCAGCUGGUAGAGCGGCGCAUUUGUAAUGCGCAGGUCCCCGGUUCGAUCCCGGGAGGCGGCU
rnacentral:tRNA from 1 species